GUGUCGGUAGUCCAAUGGCGAGGGCGUACCCCGGAAAAGGGUGAAAUGCGGGUUCGAAUGCCGCCCGAUUCU